UACCAGCACCUCGAGUGGUCGGGACGUUUUAUUGGGCCUAAAGCAUCCGUAGCCGGUUCUACAAGUCUUCCGUUAAAUCCAGCUGCUUAACAGAUGGGCUGCGGAAGAUACUAUGGAGCUAGGAGGCGGGAGAGGCAAGCGGUACUCGAUGGGUAGGGGUAAAAUCCGUUGAUCCAUUGAAGACCACCAGUGGCGAAGGCGGCUUGCCAGAACGCGCUCGACGGUGAGGGAUGAAAGCUGGGGGAGCAAACCGG
rnacentral:rRNA from 1 species